rnacentral:rRNA from 1 species
AGUGAACGCUGGCGGUAGGCCUAACACAUGCAAGUCGAACGGCAGCACAGUAGGAACUUGCUCUUACGGGUGGCGAGUGGCGGAAGGGGGAGGAAGACAUCGGAAUAUACUUUGUCGUGGGUGAUAACGUAGGGAGACUUACGCUAAUACCGCAUACGACCUACGGGGGAAAGCAGGGGAUCUUCUGACCUUGCGCGAUUGAAUGAGGCAAUGUCGGAUUAGCUAGUUCGCGGGGUAACGGCUCACCAAGGCGAAGAUCCGUACCUCGUCUGAGAGGAUCAUUCGCCACCCUGGCUCUGAGGCACGGUCCCCACUCCUACGGUAGGCAGCAGUCGGGAAUCUUGGACGAUGGGCGAAAGCCUGAUCCAGCCAUACCGCGUGGGUCAAGAAGGCCUUCGGCUUCUAAAGCCAUUUUGUUGGGAAAGAAAAGCAGCACGUUCAUCCCCCGCUGUUCUGACGGUACCCAAAGAAUAAGCACCGGCUAACUUCGUG